rnacentral:rRNA from 1 species
CCUACGGGAGGCAGCAGUGGGGAAUAUUGCACAAUGGGGGAAACCCUGAUGCAGCGACGCCGCGUGAGCGAGGAAGUAUUUCGGUCUGUAAAGCUCUAUCAGCAGGGACGAAAAACGACGGUACGUGACUACGUAGCCCCGGCUAACUACGUGCCAGCAGCCGCGGGAAACCGUAGGGGGCAAGCGUUAUCCGGAAUUACUUGGUGUAAAGGGGGCGUAGACGGCAAGGCAAGCCAGAAGGUAAAGGGCAGGGCUCAACCCUGAACAUGCUUUUGGAACUGGGGUGCUAGAGUGCAGGAGAGGAAAGUGGAAUUCCAAGUGUAGCGGUGAAAUGCGUAGAUAUUAGGAGGAACACCAGUGGCGAAGGCGGCUUACUGGACUGUAACUGACGUUGAGGCUCGAAAGCGUGGGGAGCAAACAGGAUUAGAUACCCGAGUAGUC